rnacentral:rRNA from 1 species
GACCAGACUCCUACGGGAGGCAGCAGUGGGGAAUAUUGCACAAUGGGGGAAACCCUGAUGCAGCGACGCCGCGUGAGUGAAGAAGUAUUUCGGUAUGUAAAGCUCUAUCAGCAGGGAAGAAAAUGACGGUACCUGACUAAGAAGCCCCGGCUAACUACGUGCCAGCAGCCGCGGUAAUACGUAGGGGGCAAGCGUUAUCCGGAUUUACUGGGUGUAAAGGGAGCGUAGACGGCAUGGCAAGUCAGAUGUGAAAGCCCGGGGCUCAACCCCGGGACUGCAUUUGAAACUGUCAGGCUGGAGUGCAGGAGAGGUAAGUGGAAUUCCUAGUGUAGCGGUGAAAUGCGUAGAUAUUAGGAGGAACACCAGUGGCGAAGGCGGCUUACUGGACUGUAACUGACGUUGAGGCUCGAAAGCGUGGGGAGCAAACAGGAUUAGAUACCCGGGUAC